UACGGGGGGUGCAAGCGUUGUUCGGAAUUACUGGGCGUAAAGGGUUUGUAGGUGGCUUGCUAAGUCAGACGUGAAAUCCCUCAGCUUAACUGGGGAACUGCGUCUGAUACUGGCGAGCUUGAGUGCAGGAGAGGAACGCGGAAUUCCAGGUGUAGCGGUGAAAUGCGUAGAUAUCUGGAGGAACACCGGUGGCGAAGGCGGCGUUCUGGACUGUAACUGACACUGAGAAACGAAAGCCAGGGUAGCAAACGGG
rnacentral:rRNA from 1 species